rnacentral:tRNA from 1 species
GCGCCAUUAGCUCAGUUGGUAGAGCAGCUCGCUCUUAACGAGAUGGUCGGGGGUUCGAAUCCCUCAUGGCGCACCA